UUGCUCAGGUUUCUCUUCAUUCACAUGCAAAUCUUUCGCCUUUUACUUAAGAUUUUUGUGGAGAGGAUCUUUCAAGACUUUUCUGUAUUUUUGUAAGCUCUGCCAAGGCAGAGCU